UUUCCACGAGAGUCGCCAAUGAACAAAACAAACGAUCUGCAGUGGAGUUUACCUGGCAUGACACAGAGUGACACAGCAGCUAACUACAUCAUGUGAGAACAGAAAAUUCUAUAGAGUGCAAUAGGCUUCCUGGAAUAGACCUGUGAGUGUACCCAGCGAAAGUACGAUCACCCUGGUAGACACAGCGCAGCAGCCUCACAGAAAGCAAAGAGGGGAGUCUGACAAC